CUCAUUUUGUUAGGUUACAGCCUUACUCAUUUUGUUACGUUACAGCCUUGCUCAUUUUGUUAGGUUACAGCCUUACUCAUUUUGUUAGGUUACAGCCUUACUCAUUUUGUUACGUUACAGCCUUACUCAUUUUGUAAGGUUACAACCUUACUCAUUUUCUUAGGUUACAGCCUUACUCAUUUUGUUAGAUUAAAGCCUUACUCAUUUUGUUAGGUUACAGCAUUGCUCAUUUUGUUAGGUUACAGCCUUGCUCAUUUUGUUAGGUUACAGCCUUGCUCAUUUUGUUAGGUUACAGCCUUGCUCAUUUUGUUAGGUUACAGCCUUGCUCAUUUUGUUAGGUUACAGCCUUAUUCAUUUUGUUAUGUUAAAGCCUUACUCAUUUUGUUACGUUACAGCCUUACUCAUUUUGUUAGGUUACAGCCUUACUCAUUUUGUUAGGUUACAGCCUUACUCAUUUUGUUAGGUUACAGCCUUACUCAUUUUGUUAGGUUACAGCCUUACUCAUUUUGUUAGGUUACAGCCUUACUCAUUUUGUUAGGUUACAGCCUUACUCAUUUUGUUAGGUUACAGCCUUGCUCAUUUUGUUAGGUUACAGCCUUACUCAUUUUGUUAGGUUACAGCCUUACUCAUUUUGUUAGGUUACAGCCUUACUCAUUUUGUUAGGUUACAGCCUUGCUCAUUUUGUUAGGUUACAGCCUUGCUCAUUUUGUUAGGUUACAGCCUUACUCAUUUUGUUAGGUUACAGCCUUACUCAUUUUGUUAGGUUACAGCCUUGCUCAUUUUGUUAGGUUACAGCCUUACUCAUUUUGUUAGGUUACAGCCUUACUCAUUUUGUUAGGUUACAGCCUUACUCAUUUUGUUAGGUUACAGCCUUACUCAUUUUGUUAGGUUACAGCCUUACUCAUUUUGUUAGGUUACAGCCUUACUCAUUUUGUUACGUUACAGC